AAUCAACGCUGGCGGCGUGCCUCAGACAUGCAAGUCGAACGAUUAAAGCUCUCUUCGGAGAGUGUAUAGAGUGGCGCACGGGUGAGUAACACGUAAGUAAUCUACCUUCGAGUGGGGAAUACCGUCCGGAAACGGACGCUAAUACCGCAUAAUGCAGCGGCAUCGUAAGAUGACAGUUGUUAAAGAUUUUAUCGCUUGAAGAGGAGCUUGCGGCAGAUAGCUAGUUGGUAAGGUAAUGGCUUACCAAGGCUACGAUCUGUAACCGGUCUUAGAGGACGGUCGGUCACACUGACACUGAAUAACGGGUCAGACUCCUACGGGAGG
rnacentral:rRNA from 1 species